ensembl:lncRNA
AAAAAGUUUUAUUUACAUGUGCUUACCGUAAUGCAAAAUAUGUGAAAUAAAGAUUCUCAUUCAUUCAAGGUGGAGGCAAAGAGAAAACUGUCCUCCCACCGCCAGAGCGUGGCUGCAACUGGUGGGGGCCCAUGUACAGCUGAUCUCACAUCAGUGGACAGCAAAAUCGCGGCUAUAAUUGGGGAGGUCAGCGUGUGUGGUAUUGUGUCGGAAAAGGAGGGAGACACUGACGUGACUGAAACCACAGAGGAGCAAGUCCUUCCGGAGUCUGAAGCUGUAAAUGAACAGGAGGUUCAGGGUGAGGGGUUCUCAGAUGCAGAUGCACAGCGUCCGGCUCAAAGCAGUGCCCCUUCUGCGUCUGGCACGUCCAAAAGUGGUCGGGUACUCACUGACGCAGUCCUGCAGUUACAGCGAGAGACAAUAAACGCUGUCAACGGGGUUGCAGAUGAGCUACGGCAGAUGAGAGAAGUGAUGCAAGAAAUUGCACAAUCAUUAAAAGAUGCAGUUAAAACAUGAACCUUGAGUUUUGUCUUUCUUUACAAACGCCGCAUGACAUCCUCACGGAUUCUUGCACCUCGUUGAUAUCCCUCUUGUCGGCCAGGGGGCUGUGGCUCGGGGUCGUAAUGCUGGGGUAGAGGGAGAUCAGGAGGGAGAGGAAUACCGUUUCUCAGUGCUAUAUUGUGCAAAACACCACACGCCCUGACAAUCUUGCACACUUUUGCUGGAUGGUAUAAAAGUCUGCCACCCGAGGCAUCCAGAGCACGCCAUCUGCAUUUCAGGAUGCCGAUGGCACGCUCCACAACUGCGCGGGCACGAGAGUGGACCUCGUUAUAAUGAGUUUCCUCUGCGCUCUGCGGGUUUAAAAAUGGGGUGAGGAGCCAGCGUCUCAGGGGGUAGCCACUGUCGCCUGCAGGUUAUAAUUAUAUUAAAAACAAUUGUUACGGUUUCUACUUUUUAAUAUUGUUAAACUCACCAAGAAGCCAGCCAUCACGUACUGCGCCUGCAUUUAGUCUGUUCCCUACACUGCUAUGUGUCAAGAUAAAGGAAUCAUGUGUUGAACCAGGCCAGCGUGCCACAAUGUUUGUGAGGGUCAUGUUGGAGUCACAUAUGAUUUGCACAUUAAUAGAAUGCACAUGCUUUCUAUUAACAUAAGCAAAUUCAUUUUCAGAUGGUGCCCUUAUAGCAACAUGAGUGCAGUCAAUUGCGCCGAUUACAUUUGGGAAACCAGACAUUGCUGCAAAUUGCGUUUUAAUUUCGGCCUGUUCUCGCACAGUGUAGGGGAACCUGAUGUAUCGACUAACCAUAUUAAGUAUACCAUUUAAAACGACAGAUAUUAUGGCACUCAGGGACGGCUGUGAUAUACCAGACCUAUAGGGUGAGAUGAUAGAUUCCAAUAGAAUUAUUUCAUAUACAAAAAGGUCUUAGAGACAAAUUUGAGGAUUACUUAUAGUUUUUUUAUAUUAUUAAUUUACCUGUCUGCCAAUUCCCGCUGGAAACAGCCGGUUGCCAAGAACCCCAGAGUGGUGAGGACUUGUAUUUGGACUGGGAUGGCAUGGUUCCGGCGUGUUGCCCUCUCUAAUACUGGACCCAAUUCAGCACAUAGAUCCAAGAGCACAGCUCUAGGGAAUCUAAAUCGGCUUAUUAGCCAGUCAUCAUCAUGGGCCAGGAAAUCAUCAUGGUCCCUGAAAACUCGUUCUCUCCUUAUUCUGCCAUUAGCGUAAUCCUCCAACAGUGCCAGGAGUGCCAUCAUGAAGCAUUACAUACCCGGGUCACCGGAGAAUUUAUAUGUUUCUAGCAAAUAGACUGAUCGUUAACACCUUGACAAAAAUCACUUAAUUAAUUUGUGGGCGAAAAUUUAAGACGAAAAUGUUAUAGUGAACACAUGCUUCUUGACGGUUUUGUAAUGAACACCGUAAUAGUUAGGACCGAUGAUGAGUAGCGAUUGUGCUUCAUGACUGUAUUUGCAGACUUUGACAUUUUAUGAUAUAGGCUAUGUACAUUAAGGAAAAUAUUUCCUUUUUACACUGUGUUCUGCAGUUCUCUAAUAAAAGGGUAUUUCAUGCUAUUCUGUAGGCUAUCACAUGUAUCGCGCCAUGUCCUCCUGUGCUCCCGUUGUGGACAAUGUGACUGUAAGGCAGCGCUGAUUAUUAUUUUAUUUUACUUUUAAUACAUUUUGAAUUACGUUUGGAUUUUACUAGAUGUAUAUAGCCUAAAACAAUCGGCACAAAUAACACUGUUGGAUUUAAUCUUCAUGAUAAUGUGGAUAUAACGUAUGAAAUGGAGUGAAAAUUAAAUGUCAUUCAUUCUUAUAAUCGUUCUUCUCACAUUUAUUUUCUACAAUCUAACUUCAGUUCACGACCUCACCAUCGGUGUCGCCAAUUCCCUUUGUCUCCAGAAUGUGCGUACGCACGGCUCAAAGUUUGCUUAAAGGUGCGCACAUUCUCCCGUCAAGUUUGUUUUUUAUAGAUCACAACCUUUGCGUGGGAACUGGCGUACGUACGUUUCCAGCCCCGUUUUGUGCGUACGCACGCUUUAUAAAUGAGGCCCCAGACCAUGUGCUACAUGAGGGGUAAAGGUUGCAGUCAUAUUCAGUAUUUCAUGCAAUUCAGCAACACACACCUCUCUACAGGAACUAAAAUU